GUCUGAGGCAUGAGAAACUGAGCUGCACAUGGCCUUCCUGCCAGCAGCUCUGAGCGUGAGACCUGGAAAUGGCAGAUCUACAUCUCAAUUACCAGCAAGGCUCUGGAGCUCUCUGCUGAGGCCACGUGCCGUGUUUUCUCUGCUGUGUCCCAUUACAGUCUGACAGCGACAGCUGGGAGGAAAUGCAGAAUCUGUCUGGGAGGCAUGAAAGCAGAAUGGAGAGCUCUGGAGGGUGGAAAUUCAGAGCUGAUGGGCUCUCUCAGAUGGUCAGAGGAUUUUCCCCACCUUCCCCUCUAUCCACUCACUGCUGCCAGAACAGCACACACUGCAGCAGCCCUUGAUGGACUGCUGUGAUGUGGAAGGGCCAAGCCAUGAACCAAAGGUGGUAAAUGCUGCCCGGAUUGCUCACAGCGCCAGGAGGUCGGUAUGGUGAGAAUGGGCCACAUUUCCUUGCAUCAAAGAGUAACACUUCUCUUUUUAACCAUUGCAGGUUGCUGCCCUUCUGAGCUUGAGGUCAACCCCAUCAGAAGGAGACGUGUGCACAUCUCCAGUGACACCUGUUGGGUUUAUAGUCAGCCCCGGAUGCCUGAAUGUGGCUGAAAAUGCUCCGGCCGGAGCCUCAGUGCCAACUGGCAGCUGGCCUCGCUCCUGGUGAGCAUUUCCUUGGGAAGGGAGAGAAUAAGGGAGCGCAGGACACCUCAGUGAAGGUCAGCACUGCU